rnacentral:rRNA from 1 species
UACGCAGGGGGCUAGCGUUGCUCGGAAUUACUGGGCGUAAAGCGUGUGUAGGCGGCUACGUAAGUCGGAUGUGAAAGCCCCAGGCUCAACCUGGGAAGUGCACUCGAUACUGCGUAGCUUGAGUAUCGGAGAGGUUGGUGGAAUUCUCGGUGUAGAGGUGAAAUUCGUAGAUAUCGAGAGGAACACCGGUGGCGAAGGCGGCCAACUGGACGAAUACUGACGCUGAGACACGAAAGCGUGGGGAGCAAACAGG